CCAGAGAUGGCGACCUUCGGGUCCCGUCCCCAACCCUUUGUUGACCCAAAACCAUUUUGCCUCGGGGGCAGAGCGUCCGCCGCCGCCCCCGGAGGACCACCUAACGCUGUUUUAAUACGUCGGAGUAUUGAUUAAAUAAAUUGA
rnacentral:misc_RNA from 1 species